rnacentral:rRNA from 1 species
GACCAGACUCCUACGGGAGGCAGCAGUGGGGGAUAUUGCACAAUGGGGGGAACCCUGAUGCAGCGACGCCGCGUGGGUGAAGAAGCGCCUCGGCGCGUAAAGCCCUGUCAGCAGGGAAGAAAAUGACGGUACCUGAAGAAGAAGCCCCGGCUAACUACGUGCCAGCAGCCGCGGUAAUACGUAGGGGGCGAGCGUUAUCCGGAUUCACUGGGCGUAAAGGGAGCGCAGGCGGCACGGCAAGUCCGGUGUGAAAGCCCGGGGCCCAACCCCGGGACUGCACUGGAAACUGCCGGGCUGGAGUGUCGGAGGGGCAGGCGGAAUUCCUAGUGUAGCGGUGAAAUGCGUAGAUAUCAGGAGGAACACCGGCGGCGAAGGCGGCCUGCUGGACCGCGACUGACGUUGAGGCUCGAAAGCGUGGGGAGCGAACAGGAUUAGAUACCCCUGUA